rnacentral:tRNA from 4 species
GCUGCAGUAGCUCAGUUGGUAGAGCAACUGAUUCGUAAUCAGUAGGUCGGGGGUUCGAUUCCUCUCUGCAGCACCA